UGUAAGAGGAUUGUCUGAUGUUACUGAAAUCAUGGUAGAUCAUAACUUUUGAAACUAGGAGAAACAUUGUUACAUGAUUAAACAUUGUUAUUAUGCAGAUAUCAUUUUGUAUUAUUAACUUCCAAAACUACAUGUUGGGGCAUCGUCGAACCUACAUUGGUGUAAUGCCAGGAAAGAUGAUUCAAUGCUUGAAAAAUGUGGGAACAGCUAACCCUCUUGUGCUGAUUGAUGAGAUUGACAAGUUGGGAAGAGGACAUGCAUGUGAUCUGGUAAGUGCUAUGUUGGAACUCCUUGAUCCAGAGAUUAAAGACAAAUUGAAGAGAUUAAAGAGCAAGGAAGAAGAUCAACCAUCAAAGCUUGGGAAAAUUAAAGAAAGUUAAGGGAAAAGCAAAGAUUGAACUAAGGUCAAGACUAGGACAUCGUCCAACUACUACCAAAAGCCUAUCACUGUGAGCCAUUGGGGACUAACACUAGAGUUGUAUCGAGGUCCACCUCUUCGUCAAGCCGCCCGGGUUAUGCCUCCGUGUCGAGGCUUUAACUUUGUAUUGGAGAAUUAUGUAUUUUGUUGAAUCUUAUGUAUUUGUGUGUGAGAUCUAUGUAAGUUCUGUGAUUAUAUAUGUAAAUAUGGAAAGUAUAUUUAAAUA